rnacentral:rRNA from 1 species
GAUGAACGCUGGCGGCGUGCCUAACACAUGCAAGUCGAACGGAGAUUACGGACGGAAGUUUUCGGAUGGAAGACUGUAAUUCUUAGUGGCGGACGGGUGAGUAACGCGUGGGCAACCUGCCCUAUACAGGGGGAUAGCAGCUGGCAACGGCUGGUAAGACCGCAUAAGUCGGCGAGACCGCAUGGUUUUGCCGGGAAAUGAGCAAUCAGGUAUAGGAUGGGCCCGCGUCCGAUUAGCCAGUUGGCAGGGUAAAAGCCUACCAAAGCAACGAUCGGUAGCCGGACUGAGAAGGCGGACGGCCACAGUGGGACUGAGACACGGCCCAAACUCCUACGGGAGGCAGCAGUGGGGGAUAUUGCACAAUGGAGGAAACUCUGAUGCAGCGACGCCGCGUGAGUGAAGAAGUAUUUCGGUAUGUAAAGCUCUAUCAGCAGGGAAGAUGAUGACGGUACCUGACUAAGAAGCCCCGGCUAACUACGUG